CCAUGCGGCCAGGGCAACCAAUGGCAACGCGUCGCCGGGGGGAGAUUUACGCUCCGGCCUGGGCGGUGCCUAUCCUGAUUGGCUGAGCCUCGGCGACCGGUGGACCGCCGGCAAUGGCGGGGUUUUCGGUUUUCAAACUCGCCGGGCGGGCGGGAAAGACAAGCCGGUUUAACUGACCCGCGGGAGAAAGGCGCCCAACUGGAGAGCGAGCCAGCCAGGUGGUUCCUGCUGCGGGACCCCCACCAUUUAGGCUGGGAGAAGACAGGAAUUAAAUCUUUUCAGAAUGGUAAACUCUGUGGAGGUGAUAAAACGGAGCCUUCGCAUAUGCUGUCCCCUCUGCCCGGGACAUUCUUGCCAUUCAGGCCUCAGCUCCAAUAUCACCUCCUCAGUGAAGCCACCACCAUCCCUCCUGCCCCCUUGAGUAUCAAGCUCCCGGCCUCACCUUGCCCUUGACGUCGAGGAUGAAGACAGCCGAGGCGGACAUUGUGGCGGCCGGCGGACCUGGGAGGCGGGGAGGGAGCGCCGGGAGGCGACGGCGGCGCCGCUUCCUUCUUCCUGCGGAAGCGCCGGCGCGCAGGUGAGAGCCCAGGCCCUGCCCUCCAUGUCCUCCAUGUGGGAAUCCUCCUAGCAACAAUUAGAAACAAUGCCUUGAGUUCUGGAGGCCUAUUCCAUUCCACAGAUGGGAAAGCUGAGACACCUAACCGCGCAGGAUACAACGCCUGCCCCUUUGUGCUUUCUUGGCCUCUUUCUCAAGCAGCAAGGUCUCCUCUUCAAGGAGUCCUCUCUGAUCUUCUGAUCCACGUCUAGGUCACGUCUGUUCUCUGGGCUGUCUCAAAUGUCCCAUGCUUCCCUGUCACAGCUGUGUUGCACUGUGUUUUUAAAAAUCUAUU